AAAGACUUAGUCCUAACCUUACCGUUGGUUUCUGCCAAACCUAUACAUGCAAGUAUCCGCACCCCGGUGUAAAUGUCCUCGAUCUCUUACCAAGACAAGAGGAGCAGGUAUCAGGUAUCAGGCACGCAAUGGCGGCCUAAGACACCUUGUUAAGCCACACCCCCACGGGCCCUCAGCAGUAACUAACAUUAAGCCAUAAGUGUAAACUUGACUUAGUCACGGCAGCACCAGGGUUGGUAAAUCUUGUGCCAGCCACCGCGGUCAUACAAGAAACCCAAAUCAACUGUACACGGCGUAAAGAGUGGGCCAAACACUUUUCUCUCUCAGCUGGGGCCAAACAACGACUGAGCUGUCAUAAGCCUAAGACGCACCUAAGCCCAAUAUAAACAUAACCCCAGAGCCCAAAAAAGAUGAACAACCCCCCACGAAAGCCAGGGAACAAACUGGGAUUAGAUACCCCACUAUGCCCGGCCCUAAAUCUAGAUGUUUCCCACUAAAACAUCCGCCCGGGAACUACGAGCACAAACGCUUAAAACCCUAAGGACUUGGCGGUGUCCCAAACCCCCCUAGAGGAGCCUGUUCUGUAAUCGAUAACCCACGCUAACACCUCACCCCUCCUUGCACAAACAGCCUACAUACCGCCGUCGUCAGCCCACCCUUACUGAAGGACCAACAGUGAGCACAACAAUCCUCCCAUUAACAAGACAGGUCAAGGUAUAGCUAAUGGAUGGGAAGAAAUGGGCUACAUUCUCUGAUCCAGAGUACAUUCUAACGAAAGGGGGCCUGAAACUGCCCCCCGAAGGAGGAUUUAGCAGUAAAACGUGACAAUUGAGCUCGUUUUAAGCUGGCCCUGGGACACGUACAUACCGCCCGUCACCCUCCUCACAAGCCCCCAAUACACAUAACUAAUCCCACAACCAGCUAAAGAUGAGGCAAGUCGUAACAAGGUAAGUGUACCGGAAGGUGUACUUAGCAUA
rnacentral:ncRNA from 1 species